rnacentral:rRNA from 1 species
UACGGGGGGAGCAAGCGUUGUUCGGAUUUACUGGGCGUAAAGGGCGCGUAGGCGGCGCGACAAGUCACUUGUGAAAUCUCUGGGCUCACCAGAACGUCAAGUGAUACUGUCGUGCUAGAGUGCGGAAGGGCAACUGGAAUUCUUGGUGUAGCGGUGAAUGCGUAGAUAUCAAGAGGAACACCUGCGGCGAAGGCGGGUUGCUGGCCGACACUGACGCUGAGCGCGAAGCUAGGGAGCGAACGGG